UAGGGAAUCUUCGGCAAUGGACGAAAGUCUGACCGAGCAACGCCGCGUGAGUGAAGAAGGUUUUCGGAUCGUAAAACUCUGUUGGUAGAGAAGAACGUUGGUGAGAGUGGAAAGCUCAUCAAGUGACGGUAACUACCCAAAAAGGGACGGCUAACUACGUGCCAC
rnacentral:rRNA from 1 species